ACAUGAAAUGUGGACAGCAAUGAUCAAUGGGAAUAAUGCUUCAAUCUUUUUCUCAUCUGCUGUGCUUUAUGCUCCUCAGGGUGGGUACUGAAUGCUGUUCAAGGUUCUGCCAUGAUCCCUGUGGUCAAAAAAUUUAUGUUUGCAUCUACAUGUGCGGACCGUCAACAGAUACUGGAGCUGAUUUCAACUUCCACCAUGAUCAAGGUUACCGUACUGCCUUUGUCAGGAAAGAGACAAAGAGUGAACACCCUUGAGGGAUUUAACCAUCUUACAUGAUCACAAGCUCUUUGGUUGCAUCUAUACAUUAGAAGCACGGAGACCACUAAUGGAUGCCCUUGAGCUGAUUUAAGCAUCUUCCAUGGACAGGAGCCCUAUGGUUGCAUCUGUGUUAGGAGGAUGGAGAAACAAUAAUGGGAGCACUCAAGCUGGUGGAAGGAUUCUUCUGUGGUCCUGAGAGCUCUGGUUGCAUUCACGUGUUAGGACUGUGGAGACCAUUACUUUUCAGAAUAGAAGCUCAGAGCGAUUUCAGCCUCUAUUGUGAUCAAGGUUAUCAUUUUCAGGUUGGUAUAGGACAGAGACCCAGGUGAGUAAUGACCAAUGUUCCUCUCUUGGUUUGGGUAAUUUACUUAAGUGUUUUCAUUGUAUUCUAAAAAGUAAUAAAUUCAAUCAACAGGUUAAUAAUGGCCCAUUGAUAAAUAUGACCUGAAACCUUAUACUGAUUAAUUGAUAUUGUAGGGACUUCCCUGGUGGUGCAGUGGUUAGAAUCUGCCUGCCAAUG